UUGAACGCUGGCGGUAGGCUUAACACAUGCAAGUCGUGCGAGAAAGUACCUUCGGGUGCGAGUAGAGCGGCGGACGGGUGAGUAACGCGUAGGAAUCUACCUAGUAGAAGGGGAUAGCCCGGGGAAACUCGGAUUAAUACCGUAUACCUCCUUAGGGAGAAAGAGGGCUUAGCUUUGAUGCUCUCGCUAUUAGAUGAGCCUGCGUAAGAUUAGCUUGUUGGUGAGGUAAUGGCUCACCAAGGCAACGAUCUUUAGCUGGUCUGAGAGGACGAUCAGCCACAUUGGGACUGAGACACGGCCCAGACUCCUACGGGAGGCAGCAGUGGGGAAUAUUGGACAAUGGGCGCAAGCCUGAUCCAGCCAUACCGCGUGUGUGAAGAAGGCUUUCGGGUUGUAAAGCACUUUAAGUAAGGAGGAAAAGAUUGUAGUUAAUACCUGCAAUCCGUGACGUUACUUACAGAAUAAGGACCGGCUAAU
rnacentral:rRNA from 1 species